rnacentral:hammerhead_ribozyme from 1 species
AUCCAGCUGACGAGUCUAAAAUAGGACGAAACGCGCGCUAAACUGGAU